AUGGUGGACGGGAGCCCUGCCCGAUGGUUGGGCAACGUGGGCGGUCGAUGCAAAUCCGAGCAGCCGCUGUGGCUGGCCGUGGCAGGUUGUCACAGGGACCUGGCCGGGGAGAUGCUGGGCCCAGUCUGUGCUGACUCAGCCACCCUCAGUGUCUGGGACCCCUGGGCAGAGGGUCACCAUCUCCUGUUCUGGAAGCAGUUCCAAUAUGGGAAGUAAUUAUGUAUACUGGUACCAGCAGCUCCCAGGAACGGCCCCCAAACUUCUCAUCUAUGAUAAUAAUAAGCGACCCUCAGGGGUUUCUGACCGAUUCUCUGGCUCCAAGUCUGGCACCUCAGCCUCCCUGGCCAUCACUGGACUCCGGCUCGAGGACGAGGCCGAUUAUUACUGCGCAGCAUGGGAUAGCAGCCUGAGUGCUCGCACAGUGCUCCAGGCCAAUGGGGAACUGAGACAAGAACCCUCUUCCUCGUCUGCCAGGAAGGUGAGUCCCCGGCAGCUGCUGCUCAGGCCUGCUCUGUGGCUUCUGCUGCUGAAACUUCCCCACUGGUCCCAGCGGCAUCCAGGGCCCUGCCUGAGAGCAGAGGCUCCAUUUCUUCGUACUUAGGAACAGGAACUCUAAAAAACAGAACUUCCUGAUCUUGCAUCUUGGGACGCAGGGUCUCCGCACUGCAAUCCUGGGCUGAGGUGGCAGGGACAGCUGUGUCAUCACAGACCUUUCCCUGAUGGGGAUCCCGUGUCUGCAUCAUCCUCCUUUCCCCAGUUGCAAAAGUUUCCAGAGGGGUGUCUUUCUCUCCUUGGUCCACAGUGUGAAUCCCAAUUCUUUUCUCCUAAGCCCAUUCUUUAUUAGUAAAAUUCUUGGCCAGGAGUGGUGGCUCAUGCCCGUAAUCCUAUCACUCUGUGAGGGGGAGGUCAGUGGGUCACCUUUGGUCAAGAGUUCAACACCAGCCUGGCCAUCAUGGUGAAACCCCAUCUUAAAAAAAAAUAAAUAAAAUAAAA